rnacentral:pre_miRNA from 1 species
AAUACCUCAGAAUUGUCAGGACGUCCGUUACUCUAACGCCUGACAGCUCUGAGGUGUCGU